GACGAAGGAUGCAAGCGUUAUCCGGAUUCAUUGGGUUUAAAGGGAGCGUAGGUGGUCUGCUAAGUCAGUGGUGAAAUCUCUGGGCUUAACUCAGAAAUUGCCAUUGAUACUGGUAGACUUGAGUGCAGUUGCCGUUGGCGGAAUAUGACAUGUAGUGGUGAAAUACAUAGAGAUGUCAUAGAACACCGAUUGCGAAGGCAGCUAACGAAACUGUAACUGACACUGAGGCUCGAAAGUGCGGGGAUCAAACAGG
rnacentral:misc_RNA from 1 species